UUAAUGCAUAAGAGAACUCCAAAUGAUAUUGUUUUUCAAUCUUUGUUUCAGUACGAUUGCAGAAAGCAUUCCAAAUUUUUAAAAGUAUUUGCUUUGAUGCCAUUGGUGUAAGUGGUGCAUUAAUCUAGAAGGCAAUUCCAAAUUGUACUAACAUAAAGAACUGUAGAUGCUAAAGAUCCGAACUAAUAAAUAUAAAUUGCUGGGCAAAAUUAGCAUGUCUGGCUGCAUCUGUGACGAGAAAGCAGAGUUAACAUUUUGAGUCCAGUGGCCCUUCAGAACUUUUAGUCUUUGCUUUGAUGCGAUUAGCGUGAGGGGUGAAUUCAAGCAAAACGAAUUGCAGUUUGUUUUAGUCUUUGCUUUGAUAUGAUCGAUGUGAUGUAGAUAGAUCCGAGAUAGGCAAUUUUUGUUAACCGGAUACGUGUUAAAAGCCGGUAUCUCGAGUUAGGCCACAGAUCAGCCAUGAUCUCAUUGAAGAGCAGAACAGGAUCGAGGGGCUGAAUGGCCUACUCUUGUUCCUAUGUUCCUGCUGGAGUUUUGUUUUUAGCUCUUACAUUGAUUUGAUCGGUGUUUACUGCAUUUCUUUUUAAAGAAAAGGAAAUAUAAAUCAUUAAACAAUCUUGAGCACAUCUAGCUUUCACAUAACAUCAACAAUUGCUGGAGGAACUCUGCAGGCCUGGCAGCAUCUGUGGACAGAGAGACACAGUUAACUUUUGGCGGUCCAGUGACUCUUCUUCGUAAUGCAGAAACUGCGUUAUGGUUUACUCAAGGGAGCGCUGAAAUCAGACGUAGAUCACUGCAGAUAUUGGCUGGCGAGUGGAGUACUCAUUACCCUGGAAUCUGAUCGGCACCCUUUUCGAUGUGAAAACGAACGCGCUGGGUGUCACGACCGAGAUAAGUGAUUUCAUUAAACUAGCGCUCAGUGAAAUUAAUUCGAGUCGAGGGGUUUCUCUUCAGGCGAAUUAACACAACAUAACUACUUACUUCUCGGUUGAAACCGGCAAUACCGUGUUAAAUCUGCUGGGAAAAUAUGAGAAUGAAUGCAUUCGUGUUGCUAGCGAAUCUUAACAAUCUUGCGGAUCUCAGACAGCAAAAUUGCAAUCUUUUGCCAUCGGGAGGAAGGUGAUAUUAUAGAGGUGAACAUUUUAAGGAACACAAAAUCGGAAAACUUGAAUAACGGACUCACGUCCCGAUGCUCGAUGCCUGACUAGCAUCCACUAUUUUGGCAAUAAAUGCGCAUUUUGAUUCCGUUGGAAGCUGCUCGCGAGCCACAAGAAAAAAAAUCAGAUUUUCUUCAGGAUUUAAACAGAGAAUGGAAUAGGGAGAGUCAUCCUUACAUAUGAAGAAGCCAGCGACCAUUCAGCCCAUCGCUAUGUGUUGUUUCAACGAUCCUUUAUUAUUUCCUCAAUGAAAUCUUCAGUUCAUCCGCAUUUAUCUAUACAAUAGGGAAACGCUACCACUGCAACGCCCAACUAUAUUUUUACAACACCGCGUUUUUGGUUGUACCAGCUCGCCUGACGAUUACUUCCAUUUCCGAAGCAUUUUAAAUGUAAAGCGUUGGGCAUUUCCAGCAUUUAUUUGAAAAUAAUAUGGUAAUUUGCUGACAUGUUUAACCACGCAUUUCAGGUUUGAACACACUUGAUAUUUUCAUCUAUUCGUUCGCACUGAUGCAAAUAAAACCUGCCCAAUGUAAGUAGCAAUCCAUGUGUAGCAAUUUUUACGUGAUAACUUGUACCGUUUUGUCUCUGUUUCUCCGUUUAAAUUAACACUUAAUUGGGUGUCUCUCAAUAGCGAUGUCAAAUUCUAAUGCAGAAAAAUUCUGAAAUAAAAAUUAUCCAAUAUAUGAGUUCGAAAUUUGAGUUUAUUAA